rnacentral:rRNA from 1 species
GACGAACGCUGGCGGCGUGCUUAACACAUGCAAGUCGAACGGAAAGGCCCUGCUUUUGUGGGGUGCUCGAGUGGCGAAAGGGUGAGUAACACGUGAGUAACCUGCCCUUGACUUUGGGAUAACUUCAGGAAACUGGGGCUAAUACCGGAUAUGAGCUCCUGCUGCAUGGUGGGGGUUGUAAAGUUUCGGCGGUUGGGGAUGGACUCGCGGCUCAUCAGCUUGUUGGUUGGGUAGUGGCUUACCAAGGCUUUGACGGGUAGCCGGCCUGAGAGGGUGACAGGCCACAUUGGGACGGAGGUAGGAGCCAGAGUGCUACGGGAGGCAGCAGUGGGGAACAUUGCACAAUGGGCGGAAGCAUGAUGCAGCAACGCCGCGUGCGGGAUGACGGUCUUCGGGUUGUAAACCGCUUUCGCCUGUGAAGAAGAGUGAGUGACGGUAAUGGGUAAAAAAGCACCGGCUAACUACGUG